rnacentral:rRNA from 1 species
GAUGAACGCUGGCGGCGUGCCUAAUACAUGCAAGUCGAGCGAACAGAUAAGGAGCUUGCUCCUUUGAAGUUAGCGGCGGACGGGUGAGUAACACGUGGGUAACCUACCUAUAAGACUGGGAUAACUUCGGGAAACCGGAGCUAAUACCGGAUAACAUUUAGAACCGCAUGGUUCUAAAGUGAAAGAUGGUUUUGCUAUCACUUAUAGAUGGACCCGCGCCGUAUUAGCUAGUUGGUAAGGUAACGGCUUACCAAGGCGACGAUACGUAGCCGACCUGAGAGGGUGAUCGGCCACAAAGGACCUGAGACACGGUCCAGACGCCUACGGGAGGCAGCAGUAGGGAAUCUUCCGCAAUGGGCGAAAGCCUGACGGAGCAACGCCGCGUGAGUGAUGAAGGGUUUCGGCUCGUAAAACUCUGUUAUUAGGGAAGAACAAAUGUGUAAGUAACUGUGCACAUCUUGACGGUACCUAAUCAGAAAGCCACGGCUAACUACGUG